rfam:Camelus ferus unplaced genomic scaffold scaffold19572, whole genome shotgun sequence.
GAGGGUAUAGCUCAAGUGGUAGAGCGCAUGCUUAGCAUGCAUAAGGUCCUGGAUUCAAUCCCCGGUACCACCA